AAAUGUUGGAGUGGCCUUCGGGCCCGUCCUCCAUAAACCCACCUCCGCGUACCUUUUCCUGUUGCUUCCGCGGGACAUCGGGGCCUCGUGCCUCGGACGUCUUAGGCCCCCUCCCGUCCGAGCGGGGUCGACGACGGAGCGCCCGCGGGAGGUUACCGCACAGAAACUCUUUCUUGCAAUACAUAGCUUCUGUCUGAAACAAUUCAAAAUAAAGUUA
rnacentral:misc_RNA from 1 species